rnacentral:rRNA from 1 species
GUCUACAGCCAUGCCGCCCUGAACGUGCCCGAUCCCGUCUGAUCUCGGAAGCUAAACAGGGUUGGGCCUGGUUAGCACUUGGAUGGGAGACCACCUAGAAGUACCAGGUGCUGUAGGCG